rnacentral:lncRNA from 1 species
UUUUUUACUUUUUAGGGCCACACCUGUGGCAUAUGGAGGUUCCCAGGCUAGGGGUCGAAUCGGAGCUGUAGUCACCAGCCUACACCAGAGCCACAGCAACGCGGAAGCCAAGCCACGUCUGCAACCUACACCACAGCUCACAGCAACACCGGAUCCUUAACCCACUGAGCAAGGCCAGGGAUCGCACCCGCAACCUCAUGAAAGAACCAUUUUUUCUUAAAGAGCCUUGUGAGACAAAAAUAAUCAGACCACGGUUCCACUGAAAGAGCCUCUCUCUCCAAAAAAUUACAUAUAUAAGGACAUUAUACAUGUUACAUAUACGAGGACAUUAUUUGGACAGCUGAAAGAGGAGUAAGGCCUGUGGACUAGAUGACUAUGUCGCAUGGACAUUACAUGUCCUGAUUUUGAUGUCACACUGUGGUCACGUAAGAGAACGUCCUUAUGCUUAGGAAACACACUGAAGCAUGUGGGGUAAAUACAGGGACCUGACGUCUUAGACUAGCUCUCAAAUGGGUCAGGAAAAAAGCGCGUGUGUUCAGAUAGAUCAACCAAGCGACAGAGAGACCAGAAGGAGCAGAACGGAAACCAGUGAGUUUGUGAAAACGGAGGAGAGCUGCUUGUAACGCCUGGGAGUUUUCUUUAAGUUGGACAUGUUACCCCCAAAAAGCCGAACGAGCACAGGAAGACAGGAGAGAGGCAGGAAGGGGUGGAGAGGCUUCCCCACCCCACCUGUCGGCACCCAGGGCCUCUCCUCGGGGCCAAGGCCAUGGCCGAGGGGCCCUGCCGCGUGCAGUCUCUCCAGGGAGAUGGCCUUAAAGAACGCGGCCCAGCCUCUGCCACACACCCGGCGCCUGGCUCUGGCCACUGGCCAACACAGCUGUCCCCAAAACACCAGAGCUCCAGCUGUGCCAGGAGCCCAGGGCACUGCUGCGGGGGCUCAGAGGGGUAAAGCUGCGCUCAAAAACAUCAGGGCAAACGGAGAAAGCAAGCCGGGUGCCGUCCUGCGGCAGGGAGCUGGCUCUGCACCUCUGAGACUCACACAGAUGAGAGGGGCCCGGGGCCCAGCAUCUCCAGGUGUGUGUGUUCAUCUCAGGUGCAAAGGCUGUCAGAACGCGGUCAAAGGCGGCCGGAGCCCCAGCACAGGUGUUAGGACUCCAGAGCCAGCACCCCCCCCAGGGGGGGGGGGCUCGCUUGGCCACUUUCUCCCUACCCUGAGCCCGUUGGCAACUUGUGUCACUUCUCAGGGCCUCCAUCUCCCCAUCGGCCAAACAGCAGUACCAGCUUCACAGGGCGUCUGAGAAUAAAAUGAAACACGCCUCUGCGAACACUAACACAUGCUUGUAGUCUUGACCUCACUCAGCCCCAGGGCCUCUCCCCUCCUUCCCACUUGGUGGAAGAGGCUUUGGUUAAUGGUACUUGGUGGGCAGAUAAGAAGAUACGAAGAGACUAUUUCCAAGUUGACCCUAAAAGGUCACCCCAAGCCUCUUCCUGGGCAGGAAGAUGAUGGUGACAACAGGGCGAUGAGACGCCAGUAGGACAACAUUUGCUCCCUUCCCCUCACUGCCGCCCCCAGCGAUGGGCCCCCACCCGACCCCAACACACGAGGGGACCAACAUUAUGCCUCAAGGAACGGAUGGGAAAAGGUGGGAAAGGGAGAUAGCCCCGGGUUUUUAAACUCAAAGCCCUGAGGGUAAUUUGGACCAAAUGUCUGGAGUCAGGACGGAUGAGGGCAGACACUCCUCUAAACACACAGAGACACACAUUCUCAUCCGCACGCACGCACACACGCACACACGCACACAUGCACACGCAGGCAAGCACUGAGAAUGGGCCGAGAGCUCUGCUUCCCAGAGGGGUGAGCAGGGGCUGAACCCCAGGGGGUGAACCUGAGACCUGAAGGACUCUGCCUCCCUCCAGCCUGGCACUGCACCAGCCCGUUCCACGCAGACACAACUCCAAGGGGAAGGACCUGUAUUUUAACACCUUGGCAAAAAAGGAGAGCAAAAUAAAAUUGGAAUAGAUUGUUUUUCUCCACACCUAAAUCAAAAAACCGAGCUUUCUUUCUGGUAUAAUAGGUAAUAACAUUUAAGUUAAGAGCUUGGUAUGUGCCAGAAGCUAGGUCAAGUGCAUAACGUUGGACCAUUGCCUCAUUUAAAUCCUCUCAACCCUAUAAGGUAGGCACCAGAAGCCAGGUAUUAUGCAACAAUAUGGGAAAGAACUGCGACGUGGCUCUGAGAAAUACCUUAGACGAGGCACUUAUGCAACGAGCGGAGCCCACUCUGGGCAUCCCCUUCCACCCGGCCUGGAGCAGAGGCCGCCCCCGGGCCGCACGGCCCCCAGAGGGUCCCCGCAAGGCAGAGCUCGCUAUGCCCAGAGCACGUGCAGAGAGUGAGGUCCCCUCCUACGCAAAGAAGAAUAUUUGCUUGUUCUCACAGCUAAGAACCUCACUGCAUGAAUAUUCUGAGGAAAGCACUGGGCAGGAAUCACAAUGCUAAGGGCACAACUGCUUCCAGAGGGGAAAGGUGACUCAGAAAAUGGGGAGACGCCGUGGAAAGAUGGUCCCACCAAGCAAAGGACAUUUAUUCUUCUACCUCCACGCGAAUGCACCCCUCGGUCACCUCCGAAGGUUUCCCUGAUUUUGAUUUCUGGCUGUCAUUAUCCAAAGAGCAGCCUGGCAACAGAAGGAACUUACUUCGUAAAGAAAGAAUCGCAGAGUAUUGACUUCGUACCGUAAUUCUUCCCUGCAACUCCACGCACGCCACGGUUAUUAGCUUCGCUAUGGAGAGGCCGAGAGGGAUGCUUCUGCAGUUUACAGGCGGACCAAGAGCAAGUCUCCAGGGUCCCGGCACGACAGGACCUUCUGGAAGCUGCGCCGGAGCCGGCAGCAAAGCCCGGGCUUCAGAAGCCUCGGGAGGCGCCGGCACUGCCUGCCCUCGACUCCCAGAAGCAGCGAGCCUGCUCCCGGGCGACGACCCCGGGCUGCACGGACGCUGCACAGGCUCUAGGUCCACACAGCGCUACCUCCGGCCGUGCGGG